CGCGACCAUGUCUUUUUGGGAAAGCCCCUGCGCGGCGAAGAGGGAGGUCAGGUUGGCGAGGCCUGACGUCGGUGGUGGGAUGUUGUUGUUGGCGCCGCUGAAGCUCGCCGCCGUCGAGUCCCUCCUCCCAAGCUUGACGUUCCAGGGGCGACUAGCUUACGAUUACGACGCUGUCCCUGGCGGCGAUGGCGAGGAUGUCGGCGCAGGAGACGACGCCAGGGCAGGCCUUCUCGACGGCGGACUUGAUGGCGUCGAUCACCUCGAAGCCUCUCACGGAGCCGUUGUUGGGCUUGGCCAUCUUCUCGCCUUGGAAGCUGGCCGUGUCGUCCAGUAGCAACGACGCGUCGCAGCCCUGCAGAGAAUAAUGAAAAUUGCAGACAAUAAUGAAGAAUAAAUAGGUGAUCUGAUCAAGUUCAUGAUGAUCAGCAAGUAGUUUUGACUUUUGAGUGAGUAAAUAUUGAUCAUAUAUUUAUUAGUAGUAUUAGUAAGUACUUGGACGAAGCAGUCGUGGAAGAAGAGGCGCACGAUGGAGGCGGCCAUGCGCUUCUCCCUGGCGAUGGCGGACUGCACCACCGACUUGACGGCGCUGUACAAGCCGGGGCAGGAGCUGGAGUAGAAGCUGCUGGAGAGCUGCGCCGACGAGGUGCCGGCGAGCAGUAUCAGGAGGAGAGCGAUGCAUCUUGCAGCUGCUGCUGAUGCACGAGCAGCCAUGGCGAUCUUCGUCUAAGCCUCUUGCUUGAGGGUGAGCUAUUAGCUGCUAAUUAACAAGAUGCAGGAAGAGCUAGCAGAGUGGUAGCUGCUGCCUGGAGCUGGAUAGCCUGGACGACACUGACGGAUAUUUAUAGUAGAGAAAAUAAACUAAUAUAACACCUGGAGUCGGUUUGUAUGUUUAGACUACAACAGUAUCGUACUACGACUAAAGCAUAUAUAUAAUAUAUGAUUGAUUGAUUCGAUUAUUUAAAU